rnacentral:lncRNA from 1 species
UAUGACCUAAAUCUGACCUCCUUGAUGAUAAAUUUUCUAAGUGUUGAUUUUCAGCUGAGUUCACAGGUUUCCUUAUCACAAUAAGCACAUAGUUUGUCAUCAUCAAAAAGAGGGAAAUUGUUGGCCCAAGUUUCAGUUGGAGUUUUGAAGAUUGACAAAUGAACCUCUGAAAGGACUUGGUCCAUCUUGUACUAAACAGUCUGAAUUAACCAGGACACAUGUGAAGCACGUGAGGAAGAUAUGCACUAAAGAUCACCCAUCAAUAUGUUCUGAACGUAAUAAAAAAGGUUGCAUUUGGGAUAAGAAGGACAGUCUCCUUAUGUGAAGAGAAACUGAUCUUAAGUUAGGAUAAGAGUUAGAGUUUGUAUUGGCUAAGGAUUUAAAUGGACUACGGGUAAGAAGUGGAGUUGUAAUGGAACUCUAACUACUAACUCAAUAUAUUAUUGUGGCUGUUCUCUUUUACAGGUAACACAUUCGAGC